CCUAACCUCCCAAACCUAUGGUGGUUUAGAGUCAACAUUCCAGAACAGGAAUUCAACUCCUCACCUUAAAAAUGGUGAAUCCAAAAUACUAACAACCUAGAAGAGAGGACUCCUCUCCAUACAUAGUAUCUAGGAAACAUAAACAAGGGAGACUUUUCCUUUAUAUUUUCAAAAAAAAGGCAAUAACCUAUUUUAAACUAUUCAAAGAAGCUAUAAUUUUAAAUUAUAGCUAAGUUGAAAAGGUAACAAAUUGCUCAAGGAGGUUUUUUAAUUUUCUUUAUCUUUUUCCUUCUAAAGAUAGGAAUUUCCAGAAUAUCAAGGUGAUAUUAAGCCUUUGCUUCUUUAGGUAACUGCUGAUUGUUGAAGUAUAUUUGAGGACUAGUUGUUUUGUGACUGUGCUUGGAAAGGGCAUCAGCAACCCAAUUAGCUUCUCUAAACACAUGUAUGCAUUUAAUGUUUUGGGUCUAUGUGAUGAGCUUCUGUAAUCUUCCCAACUGUGUUAUGAUGCUCCAUCGAGGGGUUGCUUUCUGUAUGAUCCAGUGUACAACCCAUUGAGAGUCCAGCUCCAGUACUAUGUUCCUGUAACCAAGUUCCAGUGCCCACGUUAAACCAAAAAUUGCUGCUUCAAUUUCUUCUUCGUUGUUGGUGACUUCUCCGAGUAGAGUUAUGAAGGCCAUCAGCAACUUGCCAGAUUGGUGUUUCACAAUACCUCCAGAUCCAAUCUUUCCUGGGUAGCUGAUUGCACUUCCAUGUGUGUUGAUCUUGAUCCACUGGUUUGGGGGUCUUAUCCGGGUUACCAUGUUCACUUAAGUAUAAUGAACACACCUUUCACAAACUUGAAUUAAUUCUUUCCAUUUGGAUGGCCACUUGAUUUGAGGGAAUGGAAUGAUCAGAACACCUGUUUUUCCAUAGAUUCCAGCAAAUGAAGAUAGGUGUGGCAUACAGAAGUAGCUUGUGAGCUGCAUUUUUGUACAUGACUGUCCACCAUUGUUUGAUGAGAUUCUGCAAUGAAGUGUGGUCUUGCUGGAUUACUUCAGUGGUUGCAAAGCUUCUCCACACCUUGGCUACAAAUUGUCCAGAAUUGAAGGUGUGCUCUAUGAUGUCCGUGCUUGCCCUGUUACAACAAUAAAAACAGUGGGUUGGCUCAAUGCCAAAGUUAGUCAACUUGUCAUUAGUAGGGAGUUUACCCCUUAUGGUUCUCCAAAGUAAAAGAAGGAUUUAAAAGGUUCCGGUCGUUGAAGAGUUUGGAAGGCAACAUUGUUGAAGGCUUGGAUUCUUCCUUUCAUCCAAGUGGGGCAAGUCCUCAACUUUCAUGGGCAAUGACAUACUUUAGCUUACAGAUUUUGUUAUGAGCUUAUUGACUCAAUCAUUCCUUUCCUUUUUAAUUGAAUAUUGUACUUUCUUAUUACCUAUACAUGGUCUUGUUGAAUUGAUGUAAGG